GACGAACGCUGGCGGCGUGCCUAAUACAUGCAAGUCGAGCGAAGUUUUUCUGGUGCUUGCACUAGAAAAACUUAGCGGCGAACGGGUGAGUAACACGUAAAGAACCUGCCUCAUAGACUGGGACAACUAUUGGAAACGAUAGCUAAUACCGGAUAACAGCAUUAACUGCAUGGUUGAUGUUUAAAAGUUGGUUUUGCUAACACUAUGAGAUGGCUUUGCGGUGCAUUAGCUAGUUGGUGGGGUAAAGGCCUACCAAGGCGACGAUGCAUAGCCGACCUGAGAGGGUGAUCGGCCACACUGGGACUGAGACACGGCCCAGACUCCUACGGGAGGCAGCAGUAGGGAAUCUUCCGCAAUGGGCGAAAGCCUGACGGAGCAACGCCGCGUGAGUGAAGAAGGAUUUCGGUUCGUAAAGCUCUGUUGUUAGGGAAGAAUGAUUGUGUAGUAACUAUACACAGUAGAGACGGUACCUAACCAGAAAGCCACGGCUAACUACGUGCCAGCAGUCGCGGUAAUACGUAGGUGGCAAGCGUUGUCCGGAAUUAUUGGGCGUAAAGCGCGCGCAGGUGGUUUAAUAAGUCUGAUGUGAAAGCCCACGGCUCAACCGUGGAGGGUCAUUGGAAACUGUUAAACUUGAGUGCAGGAGAGAAAAGUGGAAUUCCUAGUGUAGCGGUGAAAUGCGUAGAGAUUAGGAGGAACACCAGUGGCGAAGGCGGCUUUUUGGCCUGUAACUGACACUGAGGCGCGAAAGCGUGGGGAGCAAACAGG
rnacentral:rRNA from 1 species